AUACCUUUCUCGGCCUUUUGUGGCUAAGAUCAAGUGUAGUAUUUGUUCUUAUCAGUUUAAUAUCUAAUAUAUGGGCCAUUGGUCCACACGAUAUUAACUAAAAAAUUUUGAAGUGGAGGUCCACCACGGUAGCUUGCUAUCGAGACCUUCAAGUGUCGUCUUGGUGUUGCACUACUGCCUUGGCCUGGCAUACCCCAC